UACAGAGGUUUCAAGCGUUGUUCGGAUUCAUUGGGCGUAAAGGGUGCGUAGGCGGCGCCGUAAGUCGGGUGUGAAAUUUCGGAGCUUAACUCCGAAACUGCAUUCGAUACUGCGGUGCUUGAGGACUGGAGAGGAGACUGGAAUUCAUGGUGUAGCAGUGAAAUGCGUAGAGAUCAUGAGGAAGACCAGUGGCGAAGGCGGGUCUCUGGACAGUUCCUGACACUGAGGCACGAAGGCCAGGGGAGCAAACGGG
rnacentral:rRNA from 1 species